UGUAACAUCAUAUGAGGAUUGCACCUGAAUUGGGGAAUUCUGAAGAACAAGCAUGUCUGCAGACAGGAAGUUUUGGCUGCAGUCCAGGAGGAAGGAUUGAAAGUCAACAGACAAAAGGUUCAAUUAGUGCAACAAGAGCUUUCAACAUCCUCAAAGGCAUCUGAUUGUUCAGGACAUACUGAGUAUCUGCACUUACAGAAAUCAAGCCUCAAGUGGAACUCCCCUGAAAGCAAGGCACCGGGAAGCCAAGAUUAGUUUUCAGAAACAGCACCUUCCCUGCUUCCCAGCGCGUUCCGGAUCUGACAGCGCAAACUGAGGACGCGCGGGCUGCGGGGAGCGCAGCCUCCAGCCGCACCAGCAGCGCGGCACAGGACUGCCAGGUCCCAUCAGCGCCUGAGCCGCUGUCUCCGAGGCUACUUUCAGCACUGGUUGAUGCUGAGAAGACCGUUAAAAUUCAGACUCCACCCACUGCUAACUUGGAGUAAUAC